rnacentral:rRNA from 1 species
GAUGAACGCUGGCGGCGUGCCUAACACAUGCAAGUCGAACGAAGCACCUUACCUGAUUCUUCGGAUGAAAGUUUGGUGACUGAGUGGCGGACGGGUGAGUAACGCGUGGGUAACCUGCCCUGUACAGGGGGAUAACAGCUGGAAACGGCUGCUAAUACCGCAUAAGCGCACGAGGAGACAUCUCCUUGUGUGAAAAACUCCGGUGGUACAGGAUGGGCCCGCGUCUGAUUAGCUGGUUGGCAGGGUAACGGCCUACCAAGGCAACGAUCAGUAGCCGGUCUGAGAGGAUGAACGGCCACAUUGGAACUGAGACACGGUCCAAACUCCUACGGGAGGCAGCAGUGGGGAAUAUUGCACAAUGGGGGAAACCCUGAUGCAGCAACGCCGCGUGAGUGAAGAAGUAUUUCGGUAUGUAAAGCUCUAUCAGCAGGGAAGAUAAUGACGGUACCUGACUAAGAAGCGCCGGCUAAAUACGUG